rnacentral:rRNA from 1 species
UACGGAGGGCGCAAGCGUUGUUCGGAAUUACUGGGCGUAAAGCGCGUGUAGGUGGCCUGGCAAGUCGGGGGUGAAAUCCCGGAGCUCAACUCCGGAACUGCAUCCGAUACUGCCAAGCUCGAGUCUCGGAGAGGAUGGCGGAAUUUCCGGUGUAGAGGUGAAAUUCGUAGAUAUCGGAAGGAACACCAGUGGCGAAGGCGGCCGUCUGGACGAUGACUGACACUGAGACUCGAAAGCGUGGGGAGCAAACAGG